GGCGUAAAGCGUCUGUAGGUGGUUUAAUAAGUCGACUGUUAAAUCUUGAGGCUCAACUUCAAAAUCGCAUUCGAAACUAUUAGACUUGAGUAUAGUAGAGGUAAAGGGAAUUUCUAGUGGAGCGGUGAAAUGCGUAGAUAUUAGAAAGAACACCAAUUGCGAAGGCACUUUACUUGGCUAUUACUGACACUCAGAGACGAAAGCUAGGGUAGCAAAUGGGAUUAGAUACCCCAGUAGUCCUAGCCGUAAACAAUGGAUACUAGAUGUUGAACAGAUCGACCUGUGCAGUAUCAAAGCUAACGCGUUAAGUAUCCCGCCUGGGAAGUAUGCUCGCAAGGGUGAAACUCAAAGGAAUUGACGGGGGCCCGCACAAGCGGUGGAGCAUGUGGUUUAAUUCGAUGCAACGCGAAGAACCUUACCAGGGUUUGACAUGGUGCGAAUUUCUUUGAAAGAAGAAAGUGCCAUUCGGAACGCACACACAGGUGGUGCAUGGCUGUCGUC
rnacentral:rRNA from 1 species